rnacentral:lncRNA from 1 species
AAAUAUGGUGUAUAUCGUUCUGUUCAAUUCGACUGUAUAUAUUGUAUUCGAUUUACAGAUAUUCACUAUUAUACAUGAUAUCCAAUUCACUGUAUUCAAACAACAAUAAAUCACAAAACACGGUGAUAUUCGGUUGUAAUUAAAAAAAUGCAGACCUUCGGAAUAAAUAAAUACAUUCAGAAAAAUUAAUGUAUUUAUACAAAAGAUAAUAUACUUUGGUGUAUUUGAACAGCAUACAAUAUAUUUGUAUCAUUGUAUGUGACUAGAUACCAAAGAAGAGAAGAAAGUUCGCCGGAGAUAGCGUUUUCUGGCCAAGCAAUAUAUUGUAUACCUUCUAUUAAAAUAAAAUAUAGAGACGAAGAAAAAUUCAGCCCUCAAAUCUUCUCCGGCAUAGCCAUGGCCAUUUUUGUUCGCGUACGAGGAUAAACCAAUAGUAGAUGAUGACGCCGAUGAUACUGCUUCAUAGUUAUGUAGAAAUUGAUGAUUCUUCGUUUUAAAAACUUCUUGCCUAUUAUUCAUCCAACGUUCAUGUUGAUGUACACAUUACAAAUUGCCUGAAUCUGUAGAAGUAUUUUCAAUUACAAUAACCCUAGAGAAUGCUUCCAAAGGAUUCACGAUUAGAAGCAGG